rnacentral:rRNA from 1 species
UACGGGGGGGGGCAAGCGUUGUUCGGAAUUACUGGGCGUAAAGGGCUCGUAGGUGGCCAACUAAGUCAGACGUGAAAUCCCCAGGCUUAACCUGGGAACUGCGUCUGAUACUGGAUGGCUUGAAUUCGGGAGAGGGAUGCAGAAUUCCAGGUGUAGCGGUGAAAUGCGUAGAUAUCUGGAGGAACACCGGUGGCGAAGGCGGCAUCCUGGACCAACACUGACGCUGAGGAGCGAAAGCCAGGGGAGCAAACGGG